rnacentral:rRNA from 1 species
AGAGUUUGAUCAUGGCUCAGAUUGAACGCUGGCGGCAGGCCUAACACAUGCAAGUCGAGCGGAAACGAUGGGAGCUUGCUCCCAGGCGUCGAGCGGCGGACGGGUGAGUAACACGUGGGAAUCUGCCCAUUAGUGGGGGAUAACUCGGGGAAACUCGAGCUAAUACCGCAUAAUCCCUACGGGGGAAAGCAGGGGAUCUUCGGACCUUGCGCUGAUGGAUGAACCCGCGUCGGAUUAGCUUGUUGGUGGGGUAAUGGCCCACCAAGGCGACGAUCCGUAACUGGUCUGAGAGGAUGGCCAGUCACACCGGGACUGAGACACGGCCCGGACUCCUACGGGAGGCAGCAGUGGGGAAUCUUGGACAAUGGGCGCAAGCCUGAUCCAGCCAUGCCGCGUGUGUGAAGAAGGCCUUCGGGUUGUAAAGCACUUUCAGUAGGGAGGAAGGCUUUGGGCUAAUACCCUGGAGUACUUGACGUUACCUACAGAAGAAGCACCGGCUAAUUUCGUGCCAGCAGCCGCGGUAAUACGAAAGGUGCGAGCGUUAAUCGGAAUUACUGGGCGUAAAGCGCGCGUAGGCGGUGUGUUAAGUCGGAUGUGAAAGCCCAGGGCUCAACCUUGGAAUUGCAUCCGAUACUGGCACGCUAGAGUGCAGUAGAGGGAGGUGGAAUUUCCGGUGUAGCGGUGAAAUGCGUAGAGAUCGGAAGGAACACCAGUGGCGAAGGCGGCCUCCUGGACUGACACUGACGCUGAGGUGCGAAAGC